AGAGUUUGAUCAUGGCUCAGGACGAACGCUGGCGGCGUGCUUAACACAUGCAAGUCGAACGGAAAGGCCCUUCGGGGUACUCGAGUGGCGAACGGGUGAGUAACACGUGGGUGAUCUGCCCUGCACUUUGGGAUAAGCCUGGGAAACUGGGUCUAAUACCGAAUAUGACCACGCUCUUCAUGGGGUGUGGUGGAAAGCUUUUGCGGUGUGGGAUGGGCCCGCGGCCUAUCAGCUUGUUGGUGGGGUAAUGGCCUACCAAGGCGACGACGGGUAGCCGGCCUGAGAGGGUGACCGGCCACACUGGGACUGAGAUACGGCCCAGACUCCUACGGGAGGCAGCAGUGGGGAAUAUUGCACAAUGGGCGCAAGCCUGAUGCAGCGACGCCGCGUGAGGGAUGACGGCCUUCGGGUUGUAAACCUCUUUCAAUAGGGACGAAGCGCAAGUGGCGGUACCUAUAGAAGAAGCACCGGCCAACUACGUGCCAGCAGCCGCGGUAAUACGUAGGGUCCGAGCGUUGUCCGGAAUUACUGGGCGUAAAGAGCUCGUAGGUGGUUUGUCGCGUUGUUCGUGAAAACUCACAGCUUAACUGUGGGCGUGCGGGCGAUACGGGCAGACUAGAGUACUGCAGGGGAGACUGGAAUUCCUGGUGUAGCGGUGGAAUGCGCAGAUAUCAGGAGGAACACCGGUGGCGAAGGCGGGUCUCUGGGCAGUAACUGACGCUGAGGAGCGAAAGCGUGGGGAGCGAACAGGAUUAGAUACCCCGGUAGUCCAA
rnacentral:rRNA from 1 species